GACAGAGGUGCCGAGCGUUAGGCGGAAUCACUGGGCUUAAAGCGUGUGUAGGCGGGUCGUUAAGUGUCUUGUGAAAUCCCACCGCUCAACGGUGGAACUGCUGGGCAUACUGGCGAUCUUGAGCCACCUAGGGGCAGACGGAACAAGCGGUGGAGCGGUGAAAUGCGUAGAUAUCGCUUGGAACGCCGAAGGUGAAAACAGGGCGCUGGGAGUGCGCCGACGCUGAGACACGAAAGCCAGGGGAGCAAACGGG
rnacentral:rRNA from 1 species